AUUGAACGCUGGCGGCAGGCCUAACACAUGCAAGUCGAGCGGCAGCGGAAAGUAGCUUGCUACUUUGCCGGCGAGCGGCGGACGGGUGAGUAAUGUCUGGGAAACUGCCUGAUGGAGGGGGAUAACUACUGGAAACGGUGGCUAAUACCGCAUAACGUCGCAAGACCAAAGAGGGGGACCUUCGGGCCUCUUGCCAUCAGAUGUGCCCAGAUGGGAUUAGCUAGUAGGUGGGGUAAUGGCUCACCUAGGCGACGAUCCCUAGCUGGUCUGAGAGGAGGACCAGCCACACUGGAACAGAGACACGGUCCAGACUCCUACGGGAGGCAGCAGUGGGGAAUAUUGCACAAUGGGUGCAAGCCUGAUGCAGCCAUGCCGCGUGUAUGAAGAAGGCCUUCGGGUUGUAAAGUACUUUCAGCGGGGAGGAAGGUGUUGAGGUUAAUAACCUCAGCAAUUGACGUUACCCGCAGAAGAAGCACCGGCUAACUCCGUGCCAGCAGCCGCCGUAA
rnacentral:rRNA from 1 species